ACUCAAAGGAAUAGACGGGGGCCCGCACAAGCGGUGGAGCAUGUGGUUCAAUUCGAUGCAACGCGAAGAACCUUACCUAGAUUUGACAUGUAUUGGAAGACUCGUAGAAAUACGGUCGCUCGCAAGAGUCGAUACACAGGUGCUGCAUGGCUGUCGUCAGCUCGUGUCGUGAGAUGUUGGGUUAAGUCCCGCAACGAGCGCAACCCUUGCCUUUAGUUGCCAGCAUUUAGUUGGGCACUCUAAAGGGACUGCCGACGUUAAGUCGGAGGAAGGUGGGGAUGACGUCAAGUCCUCAUGGCCUUUAUAUCUAGGGCUACACACGUGCUACAAUGGACAAUACAGAGGGUCGCCAAACUGCGAAGUGGAGCUAAUCCCAGAAAAUUGUUCUAAGUUCGGAUUGGAGUCUGCAACUCGACUCCAUGAAGCUGGAAUCGCUAGUAAUCGCGGAUCAGAACGCCGCGGUGAAUACGUUCCCGGGCCUUGCACACACCGCCCGU
rnacentral:rRNA from 1 species